UUUUGGCAAAAAAAAAAAAAAAACAAAUUCGUCUGGUUUUGUUUAACUUGGUUAUAUUUCAUUAUUUUUAUUUACAAUUGAGUGUUUAUAAUUGUUUUAAUAGUUAAAAAACAUUAAAAUUAAUUUAAUUUUCUUCUUGGAGUACUUAAUGCAAAAAGAUUAGAUGAUCAAGAAUCUGUUAAUUUUGGCUACAACUCAUCACCAGGAAUAGACUUUCAAUUAAAAAACAAAGAUCAAUGGCGAAAGAUCUUGGGAACAUUUGAUCUCAUCAAAGACAAAACUCCAGAAAACAAAACAAAUCUUCGAAGAAAACCUUCGAUUCGAAAGAAACAAAUCAUAAAGCGAAAUAUAUCAAGAAAUACACCAAGUAGAUCUAUACUAUCAUCUAACUUUGCAAACACAGAAAACGAACCAAAUUCUACUCAACCAAAUUUGGAUGAAUCUGAGAUUGUUUGGUCUUCAUCAAACGAAGAAUCGGAUAAUUCUUCAGACACCGCAAAUAUAAACAUGAAAUCAAAAGUUUCAAAUCGUAAAAAUCAUUUGAAACUUAGUCAUUACGAAACGGAGAUCAAUUGGUCAUCCUCCGAUUCCGAAAAUGAUGAAAACUCCACUCAAAAGAGUCGCCUCUGCUCUGUUUCCUCACAAAUUGAUUCCGAAUCCGACCUGAACUUAUUUCUUAGAGAAAUAGAAAAGGAUCUUCGUCGAACAAAGAAGAUUAAUCAAAGACUAACAACAAAAAAAGGAGGAUAUGGAGAUCGUUUUCGAAGAGCCGUUAACAAAGCAAAGUCAGACACAUGCUUCCUAGACUAUGAACACAAAGCAGAAAUAAUAUUUGGUACCAGAGGAGUUAUAAGAGAAAAGAAGGUGUCUUACGGAUCAUGUUUUUCAAAUGUUCAACUGGAAACAGGAUCAAAAGAAUGCAUGUUCUUGGGGAAAAACCUGCAAGCAAAUGAUGUUGGGAGUUCUGUAGUUUGCUUUCUUGAUGAUUCUCAAUUUUAUACCGUAAAUGGUAGCAAUGUGUACAUACAACCCAAUAAAGUGAUUAGAUCUUAAAAAAAUA